GGAAAAGCAAGUUCAUUUGAGAUAGCUGACUACAGGAAAGAACUACAAAUACUCUAAAACUACAAACCUACACAAAAGGUCAAAGAAGCUUUUUCUAGCAAGUCGUACACUUUCAAAUUAAAUCUCUACUGAUGAAGAGCUUGGAUGAUAAAAGGUAGGAGUAUAGAAGCCAAUAUCAAAUUAAUUAACAAUAGAGGGUAUGCAUAGACAUCACUUUCCCGCCGGAACGCGCUCCCUCAGCUGGACUGAGUGGCAAAAGAACCUGCUGCAUGACUGGAUUUAAUAGGGGAAACUGCAAAAAUGCGAGUAAAACAAACAAUUACACUAAAGGUUGGGCUCGAAAGUGUUCCUUAUGAUAUGUCAAAGAAAUCUAAUUCAUGGAUAUUGGCAUGCAGCCAGGAAUCGUGUUUCCUGACAUUUAUAUGUGCCUGAUUUUGACGCCGGGGAAAUACAUAAAGCAAAUCUUCCUGUGAAUAUUUUAUAUAACUACAAUAUAGGUAGGUUUAAAUCUGAGUAAUCACUUAUAUCAAUGUUAUAUAUAUCGUCAUAUCGUCCAGCACUAAAACUUGUAUAGUUUUUGUCAGUGUUUAUUUAAAAACACCCAAUUAUGCAGAAUAUAAGAUGGUAAAUAUUUAAUUGAUGAGUUGUCAACACAAUAUAUUACAAUACAAUAUAUAUGGUAUGAUUUUACCUCAAAAUCAAACAUUUUGACACAAAAUGAUAACUACAAAUCCAUGUUUCUCUGCCUGGAAUCCAGUUGUUAUGUGAAUUGCAGCAAUCCAUUUGCUUAUUUUUUCUGUAGCUUUCGACAGUCUUUAAAUAUAUACCUCAGAUUUUGUGUCAAAGCUAUUUGUACAGUCAAUCACAAAGCUCUUUCCCGUUUUGGAUGUGUUUUGUGUGUAUUUCACAGCAUUCACGCUGAAAACCAAUGCUGCCACUCAGUCUUUUGCCACUCAGUGGGUGUAACCGCAGUCAUAACGGUCGAAGGUGACGUCACGUGCAUACCCUCUAUUGUAUUAGCUUUAGCAUUAGCCAUUUUAAAUGAGAGAAGAAUUUGCACCACAAUACAAUAAAGUUUAAUUUGGUGCACGGCCAUCAAGGUCAACAAUAAAAGAUAUGAAAUGUCACAAUGUCAAAAGAGGUUAAUCAUUACCAUCAUCACUCGUGUGUGCAGGUGAGGGGCCUGUGGCUAAAGGAAAAAGCAAGUUCAUUUUAGAUAGUCAACUACAGGAUAUAAAUACAAACACUAUAAACUUAUACAAAAGACCAAAGAAGCAAUUUUCUCUAGCAAGCUGCACACUUUCUAAUUAGACCUCGGUUGAUGAAGCCAAUAUCUUACAUGCUAAAAGGUAGAAGUAGAGGCCAAUCUCAGUUUUCACUAUAACAGCACAACAUUUGAAACAUACACUAAAACCUAUUUUAGAAAAUAAUUCCUGGAUGGUAUACGGCAUUUGUAAAACUAGCAAUGACAAUCUUUUCAAUUCUUUACCAAUGCAGACUGCAUUUGACAGCUUAGUACAAAGCAUUUAACAAAACAAAUGUCACAUGUACAUGUCAACUUUUUGUGCUAACCCUAACACCUAACAGUCUACUAAAACUCUAAUAAGAGUUAGUUGACUUCUAGGUGCAACAUUACUUAUAGUCAACAGAGAAUGUCUAAAGGGGACCAUCAAAAUGAAGUGUGACCAAACAAUGAAGUGAGAAAAAGUUAGCUGACAACUGAAAAGAUAUUUAAUUUAGAAACAAGUUAACUAUGGCACACCGAAACACUCACGCAGUAUAUUCAGCAGUUCAAUUCUUUGAAACCCAUGUGAAACACGGGCUCCUUGUAAAACCAUCAGCUUUGGUCAGAAAAAGGGAAGGGAGUUACUAGCAGUGGUCUGUAUGUGGCGCGACCCGGCUGCCAUGGAAACGCAGAGCGCACGCAAACAAUUUCAGUUUCUCAACCACAGCUUCCUGUAGCUUAACAAAACCCUUCCCCCAUUCUCAAGGCUCAGGCACUUUGCUUUCUUUUUUAUUCUGUUCGCCAGUUUGUGUCACUCAUAUACAGUGCAUGUGCGGAAGGGGGAGGGGUCAGAUGAACUUGUGGGGGUGGGGGAUAGAUAAUAAGAUAUCUAUAGAUAUGCAAAUUAUAUCUAUGCAACUACUUAUCUUUUACAUGGGAGCUUUGACUACAUCAUUAUGUAAGUCGACUAAGUAGGUAGUGCAGUUUCAUUAAUAAUCAAUGCAUUCAUCUAAUGCAAUGUCAAAUCUGGUGAUUUUUAACCCUAAUAUAUAUCAUUUUUAGCAUUCUGAAAACUUCUUAAUAUCUUUCCUUAACUUUUAGUAACUGGCGUUUUAACUCAAGUGUCAGAGUAAGCAGUACUUUUUCACUUAUUUUCUUUGCCGGAUGUGGUUUUGCUCGACUUGGUUCACAACUUGAGGUGCGUGCGUUCUGAGCGUGGCUGUUUUAGCAGGUCCACCCAUUACAUGGAACAUGACAGCAUGAGAAUGAUGACUUUAAAUUGCCUGUUUUAUGUGUCUCAUUUUAGAGGAUUCCUUUUAAAAACAUUAUAUUUUAAUUUUACUGCCUUGUCAAACAGAUCACAGUGACCGCAGUGAAGUUUGCAUAAACCUAAAUCUCCUGCAAGUUAUUUAAAGUAUUAUCUAAACCUCCAAAUUGCACUAUAUCCACAAACAUGGACUUUUAAAACAAUGUACAGUACUGUGCAAAAUUCUUAGGCCACCAUUACAUGUUGUUUUAGCAAUGAUAUAAUGUCCAUAUAUAAUUAUAAUUAAGUCUCUUUAUUACAAUAUAAUCAGAAAAUACAGUAAAUUUGAAUGCAGUAUGAAAAAAAAACAGCUUCUAUAGGCUAAAGUGGCAAGUAUUUAGUGACCUCCCCUUACACUUGAGCAAUAGCAGGAACUUAAACCUACAUGGAAAGGAAAAGGACUGGAAGGCCAAGAAAACUUUUAAAAUCUGAUGAGAAGUUUCUCAGAGUUUCUUCUUUGAGAAACUGGAAGCAGUCCAGGAAGUCAGACUAAAUACUGAUUUUUGCUUAAAGAAGCCAUUUUGCUCUGAAUUUUUUUUUUUUUAACAUUUUGUGUACAUAUUUCCUGUAUUUAUGUUUGUAUCGUAAUAAAGAGACUGAAAAAUAAAUAUGGAUGUUAUUAAAAGAACAAAGCUUUUGGUGGCCUAAGACUUUUGCACAGUACUGUAUAUCAAUUAUAUUCAGUAAUGAUGGCGAAUAACAUAUAAGCAUUGGUUUUAAAACAAUUAUUAUAGGCCCAAUAAUCUUCACAUUUAGUCUAUAAAUGUUCAAAUAAUUCCUUUCAAACUGUUUCAUCAACAUUGCAAAAGAUGUUUUUCAGUUAUGUUUCAUCGUUUUGGCUUUUUAAAUUAAAUUGUCAUUUCUAAUCAGUUUCACAGUGUAAACUCAAUUUUUAUUUUUUCAUUCAAAGCGUGUAUUUAACACUGCAGGCACCACUUACUUAAAAAUUUAAGGCAGUAAGUGUAUUAUUAUUCAUUUUACUUAAGUUUAACUUUUUUUUUUUGGUAGAAUUGGUAAAAACUAUUUUAAGGCCAUUAAGCUGCAGGACAGACAUGUCAGACUUAAGUUGUAUGCUAGUUAAAAAUCACAAAAUAACUUUAACACCAAAGUUGCGACAUGUAUCUCCCAUCUUAAAGAUUUUGAAGAUAUUUUGAGAGUGAGUUAAAAAAAACUUCUUUUUACCUUUGAUAUUAUAUUUACACUUGAAUUCAAGUAAAUACUCUUGUUUUCUGAAUAAUUGUUGGUUUGUAAAAAACUGUGCCAAUUUACUCUUCUGACAAAUGAAGCCAAGCAACCGCCCACAAUCAAAAAUAAUGUAUUUGGCACAUUUGGUCAACAUAAUGUGACAAUUGCCUAGUUACCGCAGAGUUCAAGUAUAUGCGCACAGUCUAUAUGGCCUCAAACGGAAGCCUUUAACGGCCUCAUUCAUGACAUGCAGACAUGAAGUCAACACUAAUCCAAUGACAAGACUUGAUAUAAUAUUAAAUGCUUUUAUGUACAACAAAAUUCUGAUUUGCAAAAAUCAGCUCGUUACAAAAAUCUAACAAUGUAAGAAAAUUGGGUUUUGACGAUUAAGUGUAAAUAAGCAUGAAAGCUUUAGAAAUUGGACAUUUUAAGAAGCUAUAUGAGCAAAUAUGAUGCAAGACGCUGAGAAAGAAAUGCUGAAACAAUUAAUUAAUUUUUAACUCAGUGGUUUCACACAAUGUGCAGUCGAUACCUUAAGGAGAUCAUUUGACACUUUGAAUUAAGUUUUUUGGUGUAACAAUAGAGUCAGGUUGAUUUGGUCAUAUUAAAUAAUAUUUUUGAAUAAAUUAGACCAGUUCAAUGAGAUUUUACCACAUUUUUUAGGCUAUCUCACAAAAAUUGGACCGCACACAGUAACAUCACACAUUUCCAUACAUCAGUUGUGCAUCUUUGAGUGACUGAUAUUACAUAAAGACAUAUUUCACCAAAAAAGAAAAAAAAAGAAAAAAGAAAAAGAUAAUUCAGUCAUCAUUUACUCAUCUGCAUGUCAUUCUAAAUCUAUAUAGUUAUUUUGUUUGUUUGCAGACCACAAAAUGAUAUUGAUGAUAUUGGAUAUUUAUGAUGCUGAUUGCCAUGAACUGUCAAGCUCCACAAAUGACAAAAAAGCAGUAAAAGUCCAUUUAACAUAGUCAAUGUGACACAUGUAGUAUAUCCCAAGUCUUGACAGAUUUGUAUGCAGAUUUAGUUCUUUUAAGACAUAACUUUUGGUCUGUUCCUCACACAAAACUAUUGUCUGACUUCAGAAUAUUAGUAUGAACUACUUUUAUGAUGCAUUUAGUCAUUUUGAUGCUUAACAGCCUUUGGUCACCAUUAACUUUUAAUGUAUGGAAAGGUGCAGAGUCAACAUUUAGCUAAAUAUCUUCUUUUGCGUUCCACAGAAAGCAGAAGAAAGAAAGUUUGGAACAACAUAGGGGUGAGUAAAAAAAAUGACAGAAUUUUCAUUUUCAGAUAAGCUAACCCUUUAACAAAUAAAAACAUCCAAAUAAGCCUGUAAAGUAUCAUCAAAUACUGAUUUCAUGAAUAUUCCCCUGAGCAUUGACUCUUAGGCCUCGAUCUCACUCAUAGGCCCAUCUUUCGAUCUCUGGCUUCCUUUUCUAUGUGAUUUGCAUGUACAGUGCAGUCACAAGGAUUCUCAUAUAUUCUCAACCCACAGUACUUUUAUAUAUAGUCAAAAGAUAUUUAGAUACAACACGGCUCACGGCACGUCUUCAGUAACUCUCACAAGCACCAUUUUAGCCGGCAAAUUACGAGGCAUAGAAACCGGCUCAAAAUGGAACAAGGAAGUGGUCAGAGGCAUGUGCAGCAAAGCAUCAUGUUCAAGAGCAUCGUGCAAUGUGACAUCCAAAAGAGAGUCUGAUGAAAAAUAUAAUAUAAUAAAAUUUUCAAUAAAAUGUAAUUUACUAAGGAAAGUUCCUAUCCUUGUUAUCUUAAUAUUAAAUUAAAUUAUAAGGCUACGCACCGCAUAAGAAUAUGAAUUUGCUUAGUGAAUUACAUUUUAACGAAAAUAUUAAAAAACAAACAUAAAAUUAUAAAAUGUACAUUAUUUUUUAAAUGAUGUUUGUAAUAAAAUGUAAUUUACUAAGAAAACCUUAUGAUUUAUUAUAUUAUAUUAUAUUAUAUUAAGGACAGGAACUGCAUAGAAAUACGAAUUUGCUUAGUAAAUUACAUUAAUGAAAAUAUAUGAUUAAAAAUGUAUUGUUUACAAUCAUAAAAUGUACAUAUAUUGUAUUGUAUUAUAUUAUAUCAUACCAUUAUUUUACUAAAUGUGCAAAAAAACCAAACAAACAAACAAAAAAACAAGUUUCAGUUGCAACCAAAAAGGGUUUUACAGGCUGAUGCAAUUUCCCCAGAGAGAAUUCCGAAGAACUCAACUCAAGAACGUCAAAAAUGUUCUUCACAAGAACAACCCAAGAGCCUUUACUUUUAAGACAGUAGAAUAGAACUCUAUAAAAUAACGAAUAGAUUGUCAACAACACCCAUCAAAAUGUGGCAGAUGAAAGCAGAAAAGUUUGACUGACAGCUCGGCCUCAGCACCGGUCAAAUCUAGCAGAACCUCAAGCAAGCUAAAGGGGACACGCCCAAAGCAACCUGAUCUUUGACAGCUCCUUUACCAGAAACCGUCCGCGCCGACGUGCAUGCAGACCACUAGUAGGCAGUGUCCGCGGUCAUGUUGAGUAUCAAGGCAAAAGCCGAAGAAGAAGCACCUUGUCAUGUACGUUGUCAAAGAAGCCUACAAAUAGAAACGGCAGAGAAGCGGCAAACAGGUUACAACAUGGUGAGGCAAGUUCGCCAGGUCUUAAUUUUGAUUGACAGCUUCCUAACAAGGACAGCCUAAAGCGAAGGAGUUACGCCCUGAAGCCCCUCUCCUCUCCCAUGAUGCACCAGAGGGCAGAGGGCUGCGUGUGAUGUGUUUGUCUUUAUCUUGUUCCACCUGCACACACAGUCAGAGGGGUAUAAAUGUGACAUUACAUAUAUGAACUUUCACCAUUUCUCAUCAGGGUGGAUAUGAUGAUAAAGAGCCAUUAAAACACCUUCCUCUGUCCUCUGACUGGCUGCAUGCUAUGAAACAGACAAGAGGAAAAAAAUACAGACCUGUCAAAGUGUCAUUGUGUAUCCAGACCUGCUUGCACAUUUUAACAUGGUUCCCAAGGCAAUUGGAAUCUCAUCAGCACAGACUGUCAAAGCUUGUGUAUCUCUAAAAUGAGUUGAAUUUUCAAAGGAGGAAGCCAAGGCACAGUUUCGAGGGCCAAGAAAUGUCCAAUCACCUGGAGAGUUCCUCGGUACAUCAUUAACACAGCUGUAGCUGUGCGCAUGGAGACAAGCAACAGGCACCACAGAUAAAUAGGACGAACAUAGCUGACCAGUUGGACAUGGAAACCAAAAGUACCUCAUUGUCGGCAUACCUCAGAAAACCAUUCAACAAAAACCAGAGGCAGUCAUUAAAAUUCCAGAUCAAAGGAUACAUUCAUGUCAACUCCAUCAUUCCCUGCACAACGACAAAACCUUAUUUAUGUGUGGCGUUAAUCAAGAUGCGCAAUCCAACAAUGCAUUCAAACAUCAACUUCUAGAUCUUCUAGGACCAAAGAAAUGGAGAAAGAGCAAUUGAAUGUGAAAGAAAGAAUGAGAGGCAAAGAAUACACCACAAGGGAUUCAUCUUGAAUGCACUUUGAUGUAUACAUCUAUUUUUAAAUAUAUACAUACUAUUGCGCUCUCCUGGGCUGCACUAUAAUAUUCCUGACCAAACAGCAAACAGCAGGUAGGCUAGCAGACUCUCCAGAGGUAUUCAUCUUCUAUAUCUUCUGACAAGGCAGCUCUACUCAUUCAGUUCUUCCCCAUUUCUCUCUCUAGUAAAAGGUGGAAUCUGCCUGUCAAAAGCAAGCAUACAGUACAACAUACACACAUUAUUCUUUAUUUAUCUGUAGAAAGUAAUUCAUACACUUUCUAUUGAUCAUUAGAAAUUCGAAGUGUCAGAUAUGGAUAUAAAUAUUGAUUUUGCUACAAUUCAGAAAAUGAAACUUGGAAUACUCAACAACCAUUCAGAAUCAAGAAUUAAUCACAGCAUAAUCCUGCUAAUAAUGUGUAUUUAAUGUAUUUACUUUUACAGAAAAUAACUGCAAUACUACAGGUCUUUACACCUGGUAUUAAAAUGUGUUUUGGUCGAUCGGUUCACAAGUGGACGCCGCUAAAUACAGGUGUAAACGGGGUCUAAAACGUUUUGAGCUUGUCCACUUUCAACCACUUCCAGAGGCAGUCGAACUGGAUUGCUUUUGUAGUGUAAACAUUCGAACAGCCACAAAAGACCAUCUAACUCCGCCUUCUGAACUAAUGCGUAAACAUUGUGAGAAGUGCGCUAGUCAGAUGGGAUUUAAACUUUGUUGGCUGAAUACCUCUUUGUUUGGCUUAAAGAUUAAAAAUGUACCAAACACAAUGUUCUCUCACCAUUCCUGAUUUCCAGCACCGUGUCUACAACGUACGUGAGCGGCGCGAUGCGACGCGUCAAAAGACAAUAGAACCCAUUAUAAUCAGUGAUAAUGUCUACACUGGAUGCAGCGUGAAUUCCCGACAGUAAACGGAUUCCCCGUUCUAUUUCUGACGUAGUCCAAGUGCUUUGCAACGGUCGGCUUGUCACGUUCAGUGUAGACAGCUUUUAGCUGUUACGGCGCAGUGCGAUGUGACGCAAUAAAAAAAAUCGCGUCUGGUGUAGACAUGGUGUAAGACACACUCACAUGGUCUUGCGUCUGUCAGAGCAGAAAUGAAAGCUGCUGCUCUCCGUAUGUUUUUCCGUUGUCUCCGGGUGCGUUCAUAUGUAAAUUGCGCAAUCUUAUUUCAUCCAUUACAUCGAAAGAUCUGAAAAAGGCCAUACUUUUACCAGCCCAUAGACUUAAAAAAAUCAGGACAGAAGUGGUUGAAAGUGGACAAAAGAAAACACCAGGUGUAAAUGGGAAAGUGUCUCCCUUGUCUACUUGUGAUCCGAUCGACCAAAACGCAUCUCAAUACCAGAUGUAGACAGGACCUAUGGUUAGAUGAAGAUACUUCAAAAACAAUUCCAAGACCUUCCAAACCGUACAUGCUUGCUAUAAAAUGUUUUAAUCAGUAAAAUAAGACAUUAUUGCCAACAAAAUAAGUGAGGUACUGGGAGACAAUUCCCUGGCUGCCCAAAGGAAUUGGUAAUAAAAAGCUCCUGGUGGAUGACCUAUCAGAGAUGAAAUGAGGUAAUGAGGUACUGCUAAAGAUUAGUGUAAACUAAUGUGUUUGUUCUUUGUCAUGGCUAAAGCUAAUAAACAUCAGCGUAUGGUAUCAGCUUGAUUAGCAUGUGAAACAUACUGAAUUCUUAUGUUUUUAGCCAGGGAAAAAGGUUUAAGCUGCAUUACAUUGAAUUUGACUUGCAAAUCUCAAAAUAAUACUAGAAAAAUCACUGUAUGUAGUUUUUAUUGUCUGGCCUUGUGUAUUUCAUAAUUAUUACUGUAUAUCCCAAUUAGAUACACUAGGAAAUAAGUUCACAUAUUAAAACACCUAUUUAACGACAUCAUUACAAUAAGGACAAUAAUAAGGAGCAAGGCCUACAUCAGAAACUUGGAACGGCAAAGCAUUCCCCCGAGGAAAUAUCUUUUUUUGGAAAGAUACAUUGGCUGCACCCCAGAGACUUGGCUCUCAAAAGCUAGCCACACACAGUAUGCAGCCUUUGUUCCACUGAAAGCAUUUGUCUUCAGUGCAGUGCAAAGAAGAGGGGUUAAAAUCCAAUUCAAUCGAUAUCACUGGAGACGUACAGAUACAAACAGAGGUCCUUACCCCUCCCUUCACCAGCUGAAAGUUAAAAUAGAAUAAAAUGUUGAAAUGCCUUUGAAGUUUCAAUACUAAACCCUGAGCAAGUCAAUACUCACCGUAUUGUUACAGAUACCCAGAACAUUUCUAGAGAAAUCCACAGAAAAACAAUGACAGUUCUACCUAAAUAUUCACAUUGAGAUGUUAAUUAUUGGCUGCUUGUACAAGGUCAUGCAUUUCUGAACAAUAAAUAGUAUUUUAAACAUUUGGUGGGGCUUAUCAAGGACUUUCGACUGUUCAGCGAAAGUAAGGGAAGGUGGUCCAUGUGAGGGUGUUGCAUUACAAUCCAAGGCAGAGAAGGUGUAUAAAUAAGAUGACUGUCCCACCACCAUGACCAAAACCCCCCGUUCACCCUCCAUUCUCUUAGCCUUUACCACCUUCCCUCCAGGUUAACUCUGUGCAUCCUAGCUAAUGAGGAGUUUCCGUGGCCUGCUGAGCUCCCGGGAUGGGAUGGAGCUUACCCCCGGUGUGGGACUGGGGGAGCGGGACGGUAGAGCACCGGUGUCAGCCUCUGCUUCACUGCACAUACAUCAUGCCGGUCAUUAGCGGAGGAUCAGGCUGGACCUUUGGCCAGUGCGCCACUGGCGGCAGGGAGGGGAUGGCCAUAAAAAACCCCAGGCUCUGUCACUCAUUGUCACUUAAAGUGAGAAUUUAUCAGGGCCUCUGCCUGCGCGCCGAUGAAUAAUGAAUGAGGUUCUGGAGCUUUGCCUUGACGCUCGGGUGCUAAUGGGGCCGGAAAGCUGCGGCAGGACCAUCCUUUGUGCCGGGAGGUUGCACUGUCAGGGUACGGACUGGCCUCUAUUGGUGGCUGAGCCUGGCCAUAAUAUCACACAUUUACAGUGAGGUAUGCCCCUUCUUCUCUUGAUGUACAUGCCUGGAGCACCUUCUAGACCCUGGGUAGUCCAUUCUGUAACACCAAAAGUGUUAGGAAGUUUAACACCAGUGCCUAUUUAAGAAGCAUAAGACCCUCGGUUUUGGAAGUGUCAGAAUUCUUGUACAAGUAGUGCAUGUUGACAUUCCCUUGCGUUAUUUGGCACAAGACUGGAUGAAUGUUGUUAUUUUGACAAAGCUGCUUAGGGUGGCCUUAGAAGAGUUAAAACUUACCCUUGACUAUAAAUAUAGAAGCUCUUUUGCCUUCAAAAUUUGGAUUCAGGGAAGAGAAGUUGAUCCCUCACUGGGGCUUUAGCAUAGACUCAUGAAGACCAGCAUAUUGCAUCAUUUGUAAGUAUCCUCUAAUGAAAGAAAGCAAGUUUAGUUGUAGGGCAAAGACAUGGUUCAUAUCCAAAGAGAAACUAUAAAAAAUAAGGUUAGUUUAUUUAUUCUUGUUAAUUCAGAACAAGCUUGAGAUAAGAUGAACACAGCUGACAGCUCAGGACCUUUGUAUAACCGAAGAAGCAGAUAAAAAAAAGAUGUAGGCACUUCAGAAUCUAUAAAUGAUAUCCCUACGCAACACUAUCAACCUUGUUUUGCGUGUAAACCGUGUGAAAUGCGAUCCAGCGUAGUGCAGGAAAUACUAUCACAAUCAAAACGUGUGGAGUUAUGCACCAUAACUUCUUGCGAGGAAAGUUUGUGUUUUCUGGACCGAAAAGGACUGUUCAGUUUACACACUUUUGAUACUGUAACUUACCAUAAAACUCUACGCUCUGAUGAAAUAAAGAGUUCAAAAUCAGUCUUAAAAGUCUGGGAGCGAAAGAGUUUUUGAUUUAUUCAGAGAAAGAUUUUGGGGCGAAAAAAAGAAACAAUAAACAAGCGAACAUUCUGAGCUUCUGCCACACUUUCUUCCUGUCAAGUCUCUGAGAACUUUCAGCUAAUUACGAGCAAAGCCCCACACCACAGAGAUCUUGCAUCCGUCGCUGUCUGAGGAUGACAAAAGGCUUAGAGGGGGCAAGAAACAAACAAGCCCCAGAAUAAGAAAAAGGCUUUCCAGCUAGCUGCAUGGGCGACAGCAACAUCUAAUCAGUUGAGUUUUUUUUCAGCACUGCCUUCAGCGUCGCAUCGAAGGCGCUGUUCCUCUGAUCAGUGUGCGAAGGGGCUCUCCCACUGCGCCAGUCUCCUGUCCUCUGAACCACGGGUCAGUCCUUGGUGAGUAGCCUUGCUCCUCCGUCUACUUUAUGGUGGUGCAUCUCGUCUUCAUUACCAUGCAGAGUCGCAUGCCGGGGGUAACUGCACCCCAGGACUGCCUGGAGGGGCUGCGCUCUAUCCGGCCUCCAUCGGGAACUCCCUCGCUGCUGGUUGCCGCCGAAAUGGGAGCACAGAAUGGAAACGCAGUGCAUUAAGUGACUCCGUGCCUCAGGGUCAGAGAGGAGGCGACGUGGCAUCUCCGCCGAGCGAUCGUAAACAAGCAGAGGAUGUUAGAUCUCUUCAUCCUAUUCAAAUGCUUUAUUAUGCUGAUUUUUGAGCAAACUGUAAACUAAUCAGGGCAACUUUUUCCCGUUCUCGCAUGCACACAGGGGAAAUUGUCAGAAAGGUUAGGUGCUGAGAGUCGAUUCUGGUGCCUCGCCUACAAACUUUGCACUCUCUGGAUCAUUUCAAACAAACAUGGAGAGUCCGAGGCUCUGUUGCGGUGGAAGAGAUUUCAUGCAGCAUACUUAAUUGGAAGGGGGGUUGGUGGACCAUUGCGAGAAAUAUUCACAUUCAGUAUGCUCAUUGGGACCGAAGUUGUAAAUAGUUAAUUAUGACUCUGUAUGCAAAUGCUGGCCUUUAAAUGAAUUCAAGGAAUAAUUUCCAUGUUCAUGUAUUUGCAUAAAUGCAUAUUACAUGCAUUUCACACUCAACACCUCAAAAUGUCAUAAAGAGUGAUAAAAAUUUUAGUUGAAAUCCAAACUUAACUUGCAGUACCUCAUACAGUUCACAGAAUGGACCUUGAGAAUUUCACAUCAGACAAAAAAGAUUUGACGUUUAUCUUCAAACACUAAAGGUGUCAGUUUUAGUUUUCAUUAGAAAACAAAAUGUAAUAAUAUUAAUCUUUAUAUACAUUUACAGUUACAAUUAAGUAAACAAAAUUGCCCUUAUAUCCCAUCAUAUUCCACCAUAUUCCAAAAUAAAAUUCUGAAUAUCUUUUAUCAUUUCCUAAAAUACAAAUAUUUUAACACAACUGUUUCAUUGACUAUUAAUAUUUGAAAAUCUGUCAAACCAAACUCAUGUGGUUCAACCAACAUGCAGGAUAAAAAAAGUUAUAUAAAAUAUAUAUAUAUAUAUAUAUAUAACAAACAAACAAGAAAUAACCAAAUAAAACAAGAACAGAUAUCUAGGAAAUUAUACAUCACUAUAAUUUUACAUAGUAAUUUCAUAUUUUCUAGUAUGAAAAGUAUAAUAUGAAUAGUAUGCAUGUUUUAAAACCAUUAAAAAUCAAUGUGACUAGAACUUUGUUCAUGUGUUUUAAUCAAGACGUUCAUAAAAGAUUUUUGGACGCUCGUAUUUGUCGUAACAGAAGGCCACCAGAACAUUAUUUUAGCACAUAAAGUGAUCCCACAACCGGCUACAAUCCCAACAAACGAUUGGUGCAAAGAAACUUUCGACCAAUUUUCAAUGGCAUCUGACCCGACAAAUACACUUGCAGUGGUCCUUCACAAAUUCUUCACAAAUCACCAACUGCAGUGAAGAUCCAACACAUUAUUGUUAUCCUUAUUCCUGGUGGGCUGGUCUAAAGACAAAGCCUGAGCUCUGGCUGACAAGAACAGGUAGAGAGGAAGCAGGGGAGGGAAGGAGGGCGGCUAGGACGACUGUGUUAAUUGGACUUUACAGUAACAGUGUGACAGGUGUUGUUUGGGAAAAAAAAAACUCGGCGAGAGUUAGAAAAAGAACACACCGAGCCGUUUGUCAGGAAAAGGCAGCUCCAUCCUCCCGCAACCGUUUCCCUUGCCGUUUUCCCUCAAAAUGAAUGCUGUCUGCUUGUUUAUCGCCGACAGAACUCCAGGCCGGCAUCCUCACACUUUUUUUUUUUUGGCCCAGCCACAUGGAGGUGGGGCUAAGCCUCAUCUUUAAGCACUCCCUCUGAUAGAAGCCCACGUCAAGAGUAGUCCCACACGAUGCCCCCACCUUCAUGAUAGAUAUGCCAUACUUGUCAUUUAGAAGAGAAAAAUGAGGUGUUUUCACAGAUGCAGGCAGGUCAUGCCACUUUGUUGUUUUGUUGCUGUCAGAGCAAACCACUUUUUAAAACACAGGAUGUCUUCUCUUGCGUUAAAGCUGUCAACAAAUAGAGCUCAACAGCUCGAUCCCAACAUUCUCUCUGAGCAAAGGAAUUUGUCCAAAACAGAUGUUUCACCUCUAAAUAUAUAUAUACACCCUAUUGCUGUUGCUUGUGAUGGAGUACAUACAAAGUAAUUUCGCUCUGCGAGGGAAAGGUUGUCGGUACAAACUUCAGCUGCAUUGCCGUCAACUCCAAACCACCUUGAACGUGGUGUAGAUGUAUUUGUGAUUUCAAAGCUGUUUUCUUCUCAACGAAGGACACACAAGGUCAUCAGACAAUGAAAAGCAUCUCGGCGGUGACUCUGCCGACAAUUUCAGCCUUCCCUGCAUCGCAGCCUGUCUUUCUUCUCGUAAUGACCGGAGACCAGCGGUACAGCCUCCGCUGGCAUGCAGUACAGAGGAAAGCGUGGGAACGUACAGGCAGACGUGGGCUUUUGCUUCAGCGUGCAGCGAGGCCACAGGUUUAUGCAGGAAUGCCUGUGGUCGCAUGCUCGCCGCGUAAAUCAAGGCUCCAAAACAGAGCAUUUCAUUCAGUGAGGUUGGGGAGGCAAAGCUCAGAGGACGCCUGCAUCUGGUAGCGUUUUUGAUUUACUAGGGACCUGCACAACAUUACAGCACUGGAAAACGGUGGGAGCCCGAGUCCAAAGGGCUCCAAUGUGUAGGCGAACGCAGUCUAAAGGAUUCGGUCGUAGUGGUUGGCAUCCAGGAGUGCUCUGCCAUUCCACAGGAUAUGAGGCAAUGAGCAAAUGCGCUGGCUUAAAUGAGUUUUUCUGUACGAAUCUGCUAGGAAAAAAACCCCCAAACCUUUCAAAGGGAGCAGAACUCAUGUCAGAGCAGUUAGGGUAAUAACACUUGAAAGAGAAUAUCACAUUAUCACAUCUGACAUGUUUAUGACAUGGCAGCACAAUACGUUUUCCAUAAUCAUUCUGCAUAACAUCUUGUUUGUUGCAACAAGCUCAUUUAUCAUAAAGUUUGAACAUAUCCAGACAAGAUUGUCCUUAAUUCAAAAUCAACAUAAAUGCAAAUAAUGCAAAUGAUUCAAAUCCCUUAAAGAAUGUAAACAAAAUGAUGAGGGGAAAGAAAUUAUUUCAGUUCCUUGAUAAAGGAAGUAAAUAAAUACAAAAAGUGAUUAUUUGAUCCAGGUUGAAUUCAAUUUAGAGGAUAUCUUCAUCAAGACAAAAACUAGAACUAAAACAAAAUUAACAUUAAUCGGUUAAUUACUUGUAUUUUCCUACUCUGAUGAAACUGCAAGAAUGACUACAGUAAUUUAAAAAAGCAUUAUAAACCUGAAGGAAAUAACAGAUAAAAUCCUAAUAACCAAAUAUGUAUGAUCAGUUAAAUGUAUUGCAGACUUAAUUUGCAUUAAAAAAAUAAAUAAAAAAACACACAUCAGUGAUGCACCACUAUACGUACAGCUUACAGGAUGAACCCUGUAUCUCUUGGUAAUUAUUUUUCAGACUCAGAAUGAUUUUAAUUACUUUACACUCCAGAUUGGAGUCCAAAAGAAAAUAAUGGCAAACAUUCUCUCUUUUCAUGCUUACUCAAGCAAGUCUAUUUACUGUUUUUUUUUUCUUCUCCAUUCACAGCUUGAUGGAGGGAGGCAACAGGAUGGGAUGUGACAUUUUGGUUGGAAAGGCUUGAGAAUUCAAAGCAGCUGUGGGUAAAAACCACCUGUAAAGACACUCUCUGGAUCAGAUUUCUUUUGAAACCUCAACCUAGCAUUUGUUUCCAAUAGUUAGCUUGUGAAAAACCCCAAAAGUUUCUAGAGAUGCUUCCUUGGCCAAGCAACAAGAGCUAAAAAUACCAGGAGAUGCUAUUCAAAUGUUUAUGGGUCCCGCUCAGAGGGUAGCCUUUUUUUUUCCACUUUGUUAAGGUUCACCACAGAUGACCAUGUAUUUCCCCAUGCUUCCUCUGAAAAAAAAAAAAAAAAAUCCAUAAUACAUGGACAACAGUACUGUAUGUGCUUAUGUGUGCAUAGUAUUCCUAAAACUGUCAGUUCAGUCAUCGAAGUAAAUAGAAGAAAUGAAAACAACAGGCCUUUUUUUGAUUUACCAUGAUUUUUAAUGUAAAAUUUAGUAUGAUUUUAAACAUUAAGUCAGAAAAAAAGUGAUUAAAAGUUAAUGCUUUGGAUUUUGUUAGUCACCAUGAAAUCAAAAUGGACAAUUCUUACUUUUUUACAGAUUGUUGCAGUUUAUUAUAAAUGAUUUUUCCAUACACAUUCAUUAAAAAAAAAAAAAAAAAUUCAUAUGCCCUCGUAAUCUUUAAUCAAAAACGUUAACCUCGAAACGACGUCUUUUCUCUUCAUGCCGUGUCUCUCGGCGGAGGGUGGGACUAAAUAUCCUCCAUAACUGACUGCAAACUGGCAAUCAAGAUCUGCAUUCAUUUAGUUAGCAACGCCCAAUUUUCUACAAUCAAAUCAAUUCCCAAAGGAUGAAAUCAAACCCCGCUCUACAUUACUUCUCAUACCAAAAGAUGUUUUGAAGUAUUAGUUCACUUUAAAAUGAAAAUUACCCCCAAGCUUCACUCCCCCUCAAGCCAGGUGUAUUUGACUUUCUUCUUUCUGAUGAACACAAUCAGAGUUAUAUUAAUAAAUAUCCUGAUGCAUCCAAGCUUUAUAAUGGCAGUGAACGGGGCCAACGAGUUUGAAGCCCAAGAAAGUGCAUCCAUCCAUCAUAAACGUACUCCACACGGCUCCGGGGGGUUAAUAAAGGCCUUCUGAAGCGAAGCGAUGCGUUUGUGUAAGAAAUAUAUCCGUAUUUAACAGGUUAUAAAGUAAAAUAUCUAGCUUUCGCCAGACCGCCUUCUGUACAACUAAAGAAAAAAAAAAGUGCAAAGUGCAAAACUCUCACAGUUCAAAAUGCUAACGCGACAUCCUACACCUAGGAUGGCUUGAGGGUGAGUAAAGCUUGGGGUUAUUUUUCAUUUUAAAGUGAACUAAUCCUUUAAUCCCAAAGUAUACUUCAGCCGCCCGCAUUCCGUGAGGGUCAAUGCACUGUCCGCGUAACGUAAUUUUCGUUAUCAGGAGGGUCAAUGGACGUCCGCGUGCAGCCCAAUUUUUGCGUCUGCGCAGACGUUGCGUGUACAACAGAGCAUGUGUGACUUGAGCGCUUAAAAAAAAAAAAAACAAAACAAAAAAAAAAAAAAAACAUCCACGCUCAUGGAUUAAACAAAGUCCACGAAUGCAUCUUUCUGCACUCAUGGCCAAAGGAGUAUACUUUGAAAGGCUCACACACUUGACUGUGCGCGAGGAGGAGUGGAACACGGAAAAUAAAGUAUGCGGGGGCUUUUACUCAGAUAUAUUCCUCACAAUAGAAAAGACUAUCUCAACUUCCAUUUCAUGCCGACUUUAAGAUAAAUUAUCACAUUUUAAUAUAUGUUAGAAAAUAAUUACACCUUCAAAAAUGCAAAAGGGUUGAGGGUAAUGGGUUUGACAUUUUUACGGUAUCAUUUGUAGUGAAACAACCUUUUCCUUCUUAGAAAAUGGGAUAUUUUUACAAAUUCUACCAUUAUAUUAUCAAUUGUUUACUAUAUAAAAAUUGGCAACAGUUGACAUUAAGGGUGGGGGGGAUCGAUACAGCAUAGUAUCGCAAUAUUUUUCAUGUAUUUAUUUUAUCGCUAUUCAGACGCCAAGUCUCGAUAUUUUCAGGGAGUGAAUUUCGAGGGUGAAGAAGGAUAGUUAAAACACCCUGCAUCAUUUCCUGAGAGCUCAUCUGUUACAUUACUGUUACAUACAGUCGGCGAUACUGGUUAUACACUCUUUUGAAAUCAAACUUAUGUUUUUGUGUACAUCCAGUGCCCAAGUUAUACGAUGUUAAUGGAAAAUGUAUGUAUUUUCCUAUAACAACAGUCAAACAGUGUAAAACUGCUUGUAAAACAAAUGCACUGAAUUGAGUGUGAAAACAGAAAUGCACAAACAUUAUUGUUUGACAACUCCAGUUUAAUGACAAACAAAACAGUAUAAAUUAAAAUGACAUACUUUCAGUAACUGAAGUUUUCAAGGAUGAUGAUUUCAUUAUGACAAAGUUUUUAAAAAAUGAAUAAAAGGGAAAAAAUAAAAUAUAUGUAAUAAAAAAGGCAAAAUGUUAGCUUUUAUUAACAUAUCUUUUUUUUUUUUUAAAUAAAAAAAUAUGCUUAUUUGCCAAUAUAGCAAGGUGAAGUUAAAAACAAAGGAGUGGGAAGAGAUAAAAAAGAAAAAAAAAUUGUUGAUGCAUGUAGAAAAAUGUCUAUAGCAACACAAUAAAAGCUGGAAUCAGAUAUUCAUUGUUAAAGUCAUUUUACCACGCAUGUAUAUGAGGGAACGCGUUUUGUAGAAUGACCCAAUAAAGAACAAAAGGAAAGUAAAAACAGAAUCAUUAACAAUACAUAAGGCAGAGUUUACUCGCUGUUGUUCUUUUUUCCUCAGAAACCGCAGUUCUAAGAUAUUGCCAGAUAUAGCAUUUUGGAGAAAACUUUUCAAAUAAUAAAAAAAAAAGAGCAACGGUUUGAAUGGUGGAUGUUUGGAGAUCAUCCCUUGAUAAUUCUCUUCCCCUCACAAACUAAUUGGUUUAAAGUUGCCAAGCAUGCGCCACAAGCUAUUUCAAACCUGCAUGCUAUUGAUAUUUCAUGUUUCAAAGCACAAAUCCUUUCAAUAAAGAAAAAAAUCCUGAGAUGCGCUAGCUAUUUUCCUCCAUACGUGUCCACUGGGGGAAACGAACACUGAAGAACCCGGAUUCUGUCUACUUGUUUUUUGUUGUUUUUUUGCCCCAACUAUGACUUAUUUGUUGUCCCUGCUGCACUCGCAGCUCCAAACUUGGACAAAGUUUGGCUCAAAAGCUGACACUCUCUGCUGACCACACAAUCGGCCAAUAAAGCGUCAGCUUCCCGGCCACUUCAAACGGCAGGAACAAGGCGAAACUCGCCUCAAGAACCAGACCUAAAGAGAAACGGCACGUUUCUCUUGCCGAAAUACUGAAAAAAAAAAAAAAAAAAUCUAUGAAAAUGCUGCCAGCAGCUGAAUCUGCUGCCAAUGCAGAAGGGACACGUUACAAGUGCUGGUCCCUCUGGCAACAGACAGAUAUAGAGAGCUGAACCAAGCACCUGGAUCUUAAGGAAAGAGAAUAUAUUUGGCCUUGGUGCAAAAGGUAAAAACAUCUGAGUCAGUUCGGCUUCUGUAGUGACAUCUCUCAGUGUCUGUGCAGUCUGCCGACAAAGUGUAAAACGGAUCAGUGGGUCACAACUAGCAUACUGUUCAAUAACAGGCCUACACUACUUUGGAACAUGUUUUGCGAACAGCGAACAAAAAAAUCUCAAUUUCUUCAGACUGACUGAUGCAAUUGCUGGGCGUUAGGAAAUACAUCAUGCUUUCGCAAAAUUAGCAGAACUUUAGGCCUUUCCAGUUACUUCUGUAUCAUUUUGCUAAUUAAUUAUUCACAUAGAUUUAAGAACCUAAUCAAAUUCAAUGGGAAAAAAAUGUAAUGACUCAACAGAAGGUUUCCGAACAACUCAAACUCUAAAAACAUACAUAUACAACUCUAAUACAUAGCUGUUUAAAUAUAAUUAAAUAUUAAAUAGAGUGUAACUACAGUACUGUUUAAAAGUUUGGGGUCGGUAAGAUGUAUAAAGUCUCUCUUAUGCUCAAAAAUGUGCAUUUAUCUGAUCAAAAAUACAGUAAAAAUAGUAAUAUUGUGAAAUAGUCUUCAGUGUCACAUGAUCCUUCAGAAAUCAUUCUAAUAUGAUUUGUUGCUCAAGAAACAUUUAUUAAUCUUAUCAAUGUUGAAAAUAAAUGUAUUACUCUUACUUUUAAUUAAUUUUAAUGCAUCCUUGCUGAAUAAAACGUAAUUUCUUUUAAAAAUUUGGACCCCAAACUUUUGUACGGUAGUGUAUAAUCAUUAUUGAAAAUUAAAAAAAUGUCUCACUUUUUUUUUUUUUUUUAAUUCCCAUGACACUUCUAGGGCUAGAAAAUACUGAUAUUAUAAUUAUCUGAUAUUUUCCAGAUAUUUUUCCAGGUUUCCAAUGACUGAAUUAAUAAUAAAAAAAAUAGCUUAUUUGCUCUUUAAUUCUCAUAUUGAGUUAAAAACAGUAUAAACAGUAAAGCAAUGCCUCCCGUCUAACAUAUAUGAACUGUACAACAGAAAGAAGGUUCCACUCAGGUUUGUGUCAGUCAGUGUAAUGCAGUUAGAAUGUAUCGCCACUAGAUGGAUACCUGCAUCUGUUUUCUAAUAUAAAAACAUACACUAAGUGCACAGACAACAAAUAAAAAAAAAAAAGCCUUUCUUCAUAACUAACAUCGACACUGGACCAGUCUGGGUAAAGAUAGCAGCUUCCAAGAGGUUGGAAACGACAAGCCAGAUAUCAAUUGUGAUGUUUACUUAAGUUUGUUUUCAUUGUUGUGGCAGUUUCAAGGGAGCAAUUUCCAGUGAUGAAAUUGAACCGCUCUCCUUGAGGAAUUCAUUAGAAUGAGAGAAAAUAGUCCCCUUGUCGAUGUCUUUCCUGGAGGGAAUAAGCCGGACGUGGACCCUGGGGCACGAGCGCGACACACUGCCAGCUAAUAAAGCUCGGGGCUAAGUGGAGACAGUCGUUAAAAGAAUACAAAUAAACACAAGCAAAUACGAGUGGGCGACGCUUUGGGGGAUUGAUUGGCAUGUGCAAUUAAAAAGACUCUGAAAGCAGCACAAAUAGAGUUUUAUAGUUAAACAGUUUCAAUUUUAUGCUAAUUUUGCGAAUGCUAAACGGCCAUCAAACUUUAAUAAAUAAUCAAAAACACCAGAGUAAAUGGUUUAAGUCAUUUCAUUUUAUUUAUUUUUUCAUUUCAAUUAGCAUAUAAAGAAUUAAUGUGCAUCUUGAAUGUUAAACAUGUUCAAAUAAACCGUCAAAAAAAAGACAAAUAAAUAAAAAGUUGCCUUUCCUUCCCCCUCCCAAAGGAUUUGGGUGAAAGUAGAGAGAGUACAGUCUGGCAGACCGUGAGCGUCCGAUUCAUGUGUGCUUUACCGCGGUAAAGGAUCCAGAUCUCGCUGGAGAAGGCUUGUUGAGAUAAAUACAUACUAUCAUCUAUAAGGCAACAAGCAUAAUCUGUUAUCGUGUUAACAUAAGGCGAAAGAAAAAGGUGAUUAUUGCAAAAUACAUUAAAAAAGAAAAAGGUAAACACUAAAAA